UCAAAAUAUGCCUUAAAAUAAAGGAUGAAAGUGAAGAGAAAUAUGUAUGCAAAGAAAAAUACUAUAAAUUUGUAUAUGUAUGAAUGAAAAUUAUACAGCACAAAUGUACCUGUCCAGAAACAAAAUAAAUUAUUAAGAUCUCCAUAAAUGAUGCUGCAAUUACUCUCCUUCUAAUUAGAAGCUGGGAACCUUUAAUUCCAUAAGCAGCCUCCUCCUUAUUCUCCUAGGUUAUAAAAGAUGUAUUCCUUCAAAGGCUAGGCGUCAUGGAAUAAGUUAACAUUUGAGUAUGGCAUUGACUCACCUGUUUUCUCUCAGCUUGCACUCAGUUGACCACCUGUAUUCCUGUCAGCCUCCUGAGGCAGAUAAAAUAUUUGUCAUACAAUUAAAUAUUUAUUGUGCCCUGAGGGUAUUCUGGGUGAGAUCUUCACUGGCUUAGAAAAAGGUGUUUGUGUGUGUUAGGUGAGCUGGUCCAAAAAGGUGCACUGACAGCUGUCAUGCAGCUCAGUUCAGCCUCUCUUCAAUUUAAGUUAAGCUGUCAGGCAUCAUUAUAACUAUAACUACGUACAGUGCAUUUUUAAUGAUAGAGGUUUGAAGCCAUUUAAAUUAUAUGCUAGUAAAGAUAUUGCAACAUUUUCCCAUAGCAUUGCUUAAAAGAAAAGAAUUUAAGCCUAGGUAUUUUUCUCCCUCUCUCAUGGGCAACUCAGGCAUUAAACAUCACCUUCUCCAUUCAGAGGUUAGGAUCAGAGCCCAUUAGUCUUAUACAAAAACAUCCACAUGAGAACAAGAAAAAUUAUUCCUCCACAAGUGAAAAUAUUUCUGGGCAAGUUCCACUCUCCUCUCCCUCCCCACAUUCUUCUUUUUUUCCCUACUGGAAAACUCUAACUACAGUAUUGACUGUCAAGUCAGAAACCAUCAAAAUGACUCUAUUAUUAGAAUGAAUUGAACAUUCUAGCGGGCUGCUCAUCUUUCUCAUCUGCCAUUUCCCUUCUUGAGCUGCUGGUAUUCCCCUGGGGCUGGAUGGGUGCUCAUUGCUUGGAGCAUGGUUUGAGGUGCUCCUGAAGGAAGGUCUGCACCUAAGUGUGAAGGAUGGUGCAUGCCAAGUUUCCCUUCUUCCCUCUGCUAGCUACAAAUCAAAGUGAGAGUGUGAGGUCAUGUGUCAAGUCCAAACCCAGCAUAUAUCAAGCCCCUUGUCCCAGGGCCGCUCCAGCAAGCACUUGGCAUGUUCUUUGAAAAUUAUUGUAUACACCUGCCUGCCAUUUAAAAAUGCAUGUGAUGCUCUUGGGACAAAGGUAAGAGAAGGAGCCUGGCAUCAUGCAGGCUGCCCGUGGCAUCUCCUGCCCAGCCUGACCUGGUUGACUGGGCUGAGAGACAUGCCUCUCACUGGUGUGCUGGUGCAAGCAGCAAGCGGAGGGCAAGUGCAUCCACCCAUCCCUUGUUUCUGACUGCAAGGCCAUUUUUAAAAUCAACAAAUCUGAUGUUUAGGUAAGGCUGAUGUUUUGACACCAGCUGACAAAAGCCAGGAAAUGAGCACUUUGCACUGACCCUGGGCACCUCAGUAACUCCCACGUGUUUGUUUUCACAACAGCCUGAGCUAAGGACUGAAUUUAUCUUAUGAAUUUCCUGGCUUUUGUCAGUUUGCCUUACAGCUAUAACCUGGUUUGAGCGUAUUUCUUUCUGUAUUUAAUAUUAAUGCUGGAAGUGCUAUUUACUGUAGCCAUCUUCUAAUGAGUGGGAAAGAGUACAAAGCCUUACUGGAGGGGGAACAUAAAGUGUUUGAAAUUAGUAGCAGGCAUGGGGGCUGCUGGCAGAGGAUCACUUACAACAAGUGAUCGUUUUUUAUUUUUACUCGUAAGGGGUCAGUUCCAUAAAAAAGAAUACUUUCUACUGUUUUGGAUGUUCUUAUCACAAAAAAGGCUAUUAUUUUACUCGCUGCUUUGCAAAGGGAGAAAGGAAAUUAUUUGAAUCAAAGAAGGAUUAUGAAGCAUGUCUUAAAAGAGCAUGUAAAAACAAAGAGUACAGUUAAAGGAGAGGCUCUUGCUCGGUUCACUUUGAUGAAUUUGACCAUAGCAUCUCUUGAUGGCUUUUUUUCCCUUUGUUUGAGGUCUGAGUAUAAAAGCUUGCAGUCCCCUUGGAAGUUAAUGGGAGAUUAGUUCUCACACGAGUUUUUGCAAAAUUCAUGCUUCCCUUGAAGCCAGUAGCAUUACUCACUGGUGAUGAUUUCCCAACAGUGUUAUUAUCACAGAACUCAAGCUGCAUCUAGAACAACAUUUUAUACACAGUGAGAGAGACUUCAUUGCUCAUUCUGGGCCCUUUGUCUUUAGUUACGAGUGUGGUUGUCCAGGAAUUUGAAAAAUUAAAGGGAGCAGGCAGAAAAAAAUGUGUAUGUCAUCAGAAGAGUGCUGGAUGAAGGCUCAGAAUGACUCUGGAUUACGGUUUCUCAGAGAGUCCCGAAUGCCAUGGCUGCUGAGUCACGGGCACUCUGACCUUUCCCUGUGCUCUGAACCAGGCCCUGGCAUGUUGUAUCAAGUGCAGAGCAUUUGCGUCCACUGUGCUCUUCUCUUGCUUCAUACAGCAUAGGAAGGAGUGGGCACGUGUGUAAGAGCAGCUUCCUUCCCACGCAAGUCUUCCACCUUGAGGCCUUCUGGUCCUUACCGGGCUGGUUUUGGUAGAGCUGCUUUGCAGAGAACUAACUUCUCUCCUCCCAGUCGAUCUAGAGGAGCUGCCUGGAAAGCCCAAAGGCCGAGCUGCUGGCUGUUCGCAGUGCGGAGUGACCUGCCUCAGUGCAGCUAUCCAGCUCCCUCGGCUUAUGUGUCCUGCACACAUUCAGGUCAUGCUUUCAUCUGGCACAGACCUCGCAUUAUUUUGCAAUAUAAUGACUGUUAGCACAGAACACGAGGCCACACGGCUUUGCCUCUGCCUUGAUCGCUGCUGGCCUCCCCGGGGGUCGGCGGGCAAUCACCCUGAGGCAUUGUGGAAGCGUGGCAGGACAGCGAGCUGACGCAGGGCGUGACACAGCCUGUGGAGAUUGUGCUCGGACCCUGGGGAUAAAUUUGCUUGUUAGUCUCCUGCUGGCAGAAGCUCAGUUCCUCUUUGUUUUGAGCUAAAGGCUCCCUUUCUCCCUCGCAGCUUUUAAAGGUUUCUCCACAAGAACGAAAUAAGGGGUUUCUCCCUAGAAGAAAAGGGUUUUUGAACAAUGGGUGGAAGUACAAAGGGGUGAAUGACAGGUUUCGGCUGCCUGACAAGCAGCUGGAGUGAGGGGCCUUUCAGUGUGCAAAUAGGAAUCAUUGUGAUGGGCGUUUGCGGAGUUACUUAUUCAUUAGAUCUCUUUUCACUAAGUUAAUGAACUUACCACAGACUGAUCCUGCUUCUAAUUUAGUUGGUGUCACUCAUACUUCUGCGGAGCCCGGGACAGAUCUCUGGAUUUCUGAACUAAUCCCAAUUGUUAAGCCAGCCGCUACCUUUGACUUGUUCUGGCUGAGGUAGAUGUCUUUCAGAGUGCCCUUCAUACAGGCAUUUGGCUUGCCUUGUAAGUAGCGAGAGGAGAAUCACUCCUUCCUCAUGUAGCUUGUUCCAUAGGUUAACAACCCGCAUUCUGAGACAUUUCUGCUUUAAGUCUAUCUGGCUUUACCUUUUAGCUGUUGCUUCUUGCUGUGCUUUUUCAACCAGGUAAGAAAGUGUUAUAGAAUCCAGCAUUACUCAUGUUCUUUUUGGUGUCUUUUACAAUGGUAUUUCUUAAUCAUGUUUGUGAUUCCUUUCUGCUUCUCUUUCAAUUUUCCUGUGUUCCUUUCAAACAGGGACAUCUGAGCACUGUGUGGUGUUCCAGGAUGUUGCUACCGACAAUGCUUCAUUCUCAAGGAAACUUUUAAAAUAUAUAUUUACUCACCGCUCUUUUAGGACUGCGGUAGCACACUUAGCUCUGAAGGCACUGUGAAAUGUGUGUCUGAACCAUGAAUCCUGAGUUGGAGAUGUCUGGAUAGCUCCUGGUAUACAGAGUCUUCUAGACAGUUAAGGACUUCCUGGAGUGGCAAUGUGAACACAUGGAAUGAGAUCAUGCUCUUCCUCUGGCCUUGCAGCUUCCCACAGGGCUGCUGCAUCUGGAAGUUUUGGGGCUGGUUGUGUCAGAGGGGUGUGCUGAGAAGAUGAUACAGGGUUCUACUGCACUAAUCCCUCUCCAGAAUGGCACCAGAGGAGUAACUUGCUAGAGAAGCUUAGACUUUCUGUGCACUGGAAAGUCUUACUAAUCACACUGAAGUUGUUCAAUUCCUGUAGUGAUACGGUGUAAGGAGUACUUCCCCAUCACAGGAGUUACUGAUGUUACUGGAGAGAAUUAUACAUCCAAAAUAACACAAACCAAAACAAGAAGAAAGAUGUUCAGAUGAGAAUAGGACUAUGUAGGAAGAAACUGUGUCUGUCCGUGUUUAAAUUCAGCUUAUAUCAGUGCAAAUUUCCAGUGCUAACAAGUGAACUGAGUUGUUAUACAAAAGCUGCUGGAAAUAAUCAUUGGAACUGAUAAUUAGUUCUGCAUUCUGUUUUCUCAAUAUUUAAAAUAUAGAGAAAUACAACAAAAUAUUUGGAAUUGGAGAAAGCUCUAAUGCUUCUUUGCUGUCUUGACAGCAGUUAUCUCAGCACAUUGUGUAUAAAGUUUUCUAGAAAUGUCCAACUGUUAAUGAUAUGUUUAAGCUCCUGUACUUUGUAAUGUCAAGUGAUCCAUCAAUUGAAAUAAGUAGAUUUUGAUCCCUGUGGUGUCAGAGAGGAAUAAUUAAAGCAGAUGAUAGAAGGCUUGUAGCAUCUAAAUGGUAUGUCCAAAACCAGUGCUGGCCAGUGAAGGGCUACCAAAAGCCUGCAGCUCAGCUGAGGACUUAUUGGAAUGGAAGAAAGGCCAGUCCCUGCCUUUUGCUGGAUUGAGUGUUGUGAAGUGAAGGAAACCUGUGAUUUAUCAGGACCUUUCUGUAGCGAUGUAGACUUGGAGUAGGGGUAUCUUGUUCACCAUAUCUCAUGUGUUGGUUCUAUAAAAUACUGAUGCAACUCAAACUGAAUGUUACCAGUGACCCAGUGUGAAAGUUACUUCUGUCUGGAAGAAGAACUUUCUUCCUCUUUAUCUCCUUCAUGGCUAUGUAGAUUCUGUCCUUGCUUUGUUUAUGUCCUCUUGAGUUGAUUUACUUCAUUUAUUAAUUUAGUUAUCCCUCACCCACUCCAGAAAGAAAAAAGAGUUUUCCACUUAGUUAGCAAUGUGAAUCAAUUCAGGAAGGUCUCUUAACAAGUGCUGAGGAAGUGGCAACCAGUGGCCAAAAGCAGCAUAGAGGAAAAAGUAGGGUGAUAGAGGGUGUUGAGGUUUGAAAUUCACUUUGCAGGAAUAGCUUCUUGAGAGUUCUGAUAAGAACAGUAUGACAAAAAUAUUAAGAAAAGAAGACAGUCCAACUCUGAUUUUAAUUAUGUUUUAUUUCAGCAGUUGGCAUUUGAAAGUUCUCAGAGACCUGCAUCUGUGGACAUAAUGUAGGUGACUGUGUAGGAAGAAAACUGAGGUAAGGUGAAUACACCUGUGAAAUUACAAUGCAAUUUUGUAGAGACUGAAGUCAAUACAUGUAGAUACAUGAACUCUCUUAACAGGUGCUUGAUGGAUGUCUUAACUCUUGAAGAAAAGAAGGUCCUUGCAUGUAGAUGAAACCUUCUGUAUAGAAUAUUAACUUAGUUAAAUCCUAUUGCUUCUUUUAUUUGAGUAGAGAAUAUAGCUGACUAACUUUAAAAUAUUUUAAAAUCUAAAUAUAAGAUUUCUUCUGAUGUCUAGAUUAGUAAGUGGCAUGAUGAGGUAUAGAGUGUACUGAAGUGUAUGGUGUUAAGACCCAAAAUCCACACCGCAUGCUUUUUAUGGUAUCUUCCUCUCUGCUUCCAUCCUUCCUCCCUCUACAGUUUGAUCCUGUGAACUGAAAAUAGUACUAGUGUGCUCUCAGAGUGCAUCCUCUGGUUUACUUUCAUCCCAAAGGAAUCUAGUUUGUACACUCUGUGACCAUCUACAGUAUAAAUCAAACUAUGUUGAUGGGUACUACCAGAUUUGUUUCUAAUAUGUGUAUCUCAUCCACGCUAAAUUGCUAAUGGAGGCACACUCUUUUUUUGACGUUGUUACUUUAAAAAUUAACAUAAGAAAACGUGGUUAAAAAAAAAAAAUGCUUUCUUUUGUCUGAUGCAUCACUAUGUCUUAUUUUGGAGGCAGUCAGGAACCCUGGGUCUGUUUUGCAAAGUGUGUAAAUUCUGGCAAUGGAGCAUUAACGUUUGCUCCUACAAACUUACGGCAACAUUUGGAAUUUGUUGUAGUACAUGGUAACCAACAACAUAUGAGAAGGCUUGGCUCCCAACAGAUAUACUAAGCAAAAUGGAGUAAAAAUGGAGGUUUAACCAUCACCUUAAAUAUAGGGAACUGAAAAGAAAUACAGCCCUGAAGCUUUUCUGUAUUCUUCAGCAAAAUUGGUGUUUUAAGAAUAUAGAUCAAUUGUCCCUUUACUGUGCAAUAUUUUAUAAUGAUAUAAUUACAUAAUGCCUGAUAGAAUACAGUAGGAUAUUCUGCCAUAACUUGAGUUGGUGUUAGCGAGCCUCUGGUAAAGAAACCUGGGUAGAAUGACCUUAUUUGUUGUCAUUAAAGGCAAAUCCUUUUUUUCUCUCUCUCUUUUUUUUUUUUUUUAUUUAAGUUAUCAAACAAGGAAAUGAGGGGUUCACAGUAGACAUUAUGGAGUUGCUGCAGUGCUGCUUGUACAAUAGAUGCAUUUGGAUCAGUAAUUUAAAUGUAAUUCUUAACAUUUUUUUUCUGUCUAAACCAGCAGAACAAGAAUACAUUGCUGUGACCUGCUUACCAUCUAGGCAUAAAUUGUUAGCUUUGGGGAGUCUCUGGUUCUUUUUUAUAGUAUGACAAACUCUUGAUGGCUUCAUGGCAUCUCAUAAAUUCAUCAUCAUUGGCACUGGUGCUACUAACUGAGUUUCAUUUUAUUUUCUUUUUAAGUGUUAAUGCUGUUUUCUGUCCUCUUGGGCUGACAUUACUUACUUCAGGAAACACUUUGCUUUGUAGCCUCAGGCUCUUAGUCUCGCAAGCGUUCAGCCAGUAGUGAUCUGAUAAGCUUAGUGCUGAAAGUACUCAGUGAAAAGAGAUUUCAUUUGUCUUGAAUACUGGGUAACAAACUGUCAAGAUUUCUUUUCCUUCUUAAUCACUUUCAAACAACUUAAACAUCAGACAGAACUAAUAUCAGACCAAAUAAGUGACAAGAUAUAGCUCAGUGAAAUGCACUACAGAGGUCUUUAUUAUUAUUUUUUUUUGUCUGGAAAAUGCAA